UAGAAGAAUUAAAAACUGAAAGUCUUAAUAAGAAAAUGUAAAAGAUCUCAAUUGGUUACAUCAUUCCCCCUAACAAUGAAUUUAGCUACUCAUAAUACAUGAAGAAAAGUAAGAAUUUGUCUUAGAAUACAUCACCGAGUUUGUAAUAAAGAUGUAGAAAAAAAGUAGAAUUCUUGCACCAAGAUCUCCUUCCUCUUUCAAUAAAUGCUUCUAAUCUUCAAUUGUUUGAAUUUCUCUUUUUAAUCUCCUUUCUUGUUGUCUUCUCUCCAAUAUGUUACCCUUCAAAGGUAUGAGAAAGAUGUAUUUAUAGGUGCCCCUCCGUUUUAUGUAGAAGUACGGUUUGUAUGGAUUUAAAAACGGGCCCUAGAUAUUCAAUCGCAGCGCCUAGGCGCUAUGGUUGCGACGCCUAGGCGCUGCCUUUCGGGUCUAAAUUUCAUCUUUUUUUCAAUUUCGUAGCGUCUAAGCGCUGUGAAUGCAGCGCCUAAGCGCCGUCUUUCUGCCCCAAUUCCGUGUUUUUGGCCUCUUCGUCCACUUGAAUACCUUUUUUCACAUCGCUUCUCCUAAUUUUCAAAACAAUACUAACAAACAUAUCAAAAAGUUCUAUACUCACAAGAUCUAGCAUUUAAUCAAGCUAAAAUUGUGCAAAAAUCAUAAGUGAAACAAACUCAUCACUCGAUAUUUUUCAAAUUUCAAGAGUUAUGCUAGUGAGUAACGUACAGUAUAUUCCAAAAUCCAGUGAUCAAAACUCGAUAUUUUAAAUUUCAGUGAACAAUCGAAAACAUGGACCUAAAUUCAGUGACCAAAACUCGACAUUUUUCAUAGUUUAGUGGCCAAAACUCGACAAUUUAAAGUUUAGUGAUCAAUCCAAGACAUAGAUCUAAGUUCAUUGACCAAAAUUCGACAUUUUUCAAAAUUCAGUGGCCAAAAUUCGAUGGUCAAUCAAAGACAUUGAUCUAAGUUCAGUGACCAUUAGAACAAUUAACUCAUCUUUGGUUAUUUAUAAUUGUAAAGUUUUUAACAAAUUGCUUAUUUUAAUAAAUAAGUAAUUUGUUAUGAAAGAAAUAACAUUUUUGAAAAGAAGUGUUAUUUUUCUUUUUUAAACCUUUGAAGUGUCCUUUUUGAAAAUAAAAAACUAUCAAUUUAACUAUUAAUUAUUUUUUUACUCAGA
rnacentral:lncRNA from 1 species